rnacentral:rRNA from 1 species
UACAGAGGUCUCAAGCGUUGUUCGGAUUCAUUGGGCGUAAAUGGUGCGUAGGCGGCGCGGUAAGUCGGGUGUGAAAUCUCGGAGCUUAACUCCGAAACUGCAUUCGAUACUGCCGUGCUUGAGGACUGGAGAGGAGACUGGAAUUUACGGUGUAGCGGUGAAAUGCGUAGAUAUCGUAAGGAAGACCAGUGGCGAAGGCGGGUCUCUGGACAGUUCCUGACGCUGAGGCGCGAAAGCGUGGGGAGCAAACAGG